UGAUAAGUCAGCCUGGACUUGUGGACUC
rnacentral:piRNA from 1 species